GAUGAAGAACGCAGCGAAAUGCGAUAAGUAAUGUGAAUUGCAGAAUUCAGUGAAUCAUCGAAUCUUUAAACGCACAUUGCGCCCCCUGGUAUUCCGGGGGGCAUGCCUGUUCGAGCGUCAUUUCAACCCUCAAGCUCUGCUUGGUAUUGAGUCCAUGUCAGCAAUGGCAGGCUCCAAAAUCAGUGGCGGCGCCGCUGGGUCCUGAACGUAGUAAUAUCUCUCGUUACAGGUGCUCGGCGUGCUUCUGCCAAAACCCCAAUUUUUCUAUGGUUGACCUCGGAUCAGGUAGGGAUACCCGCUGAACUUAAGCAUAUCAAUAAGCGGAGGA
rnacentral:misc_RNA from 1 species